AGAUUGAACGCUGGCGGCAUGCCUUACACAUGCAAGUCGAACGGCAGCACGGGAGCAAUCCUGGUGGCGAGUGGCGAACGGGUGAGUAAUACAUCGGAACGUGCCCAAUAGUGGGGGAUAACCCGGCGAAAGCCGGACUAAUACCGCAUACGACCUACGGGUGAAAGCGGGGGAUCGCAAGACCUCGCGCUAUCGGAGCGGCCGAUGUCAGAUUAGCUUGUUGGUGGGGUAAAAGCCUACCAAGGCAACGAUCUGUAGCUGGUCUGAGAGGACGACCAGCCACACUGGGACUGAGACACGGCCCAGACUCCUACGGGAGGCAGCAGUGGGGAAUUUUGGACAAUGGGCGCAAGCCUGAUCCAGCCAUGCCGCGUGCGGGAAGAAGGCCUGGUUGUAAGCCGCUUUGUCUAGGAAGAAACGCGCUGAGCUAAUACCUCGCGUAAUGACGGUAACCUAGAACGAAAUAAAGACACCGGACUAACUACGUAGCCAGCAGCCGA
rnacentral:rRNA from 1 species